CCCAGACAGCCAGGAUGUUGGCUUAGAAGCAGCCAUCAUUUAAAGAAAGCGUAAUAGCUCACUGGUCGAGUCGGCCUGCGCGGAAGAUGUAACGGGGCUAAACCAUGCACCGAAGCUGCGGCAGCGACGCUGAUGCGUUGUUGGGUAGGGGAGCGUUCUGUAAGCCUGCGAAGGUGACCUGUGAGGGUUGCUGGAGGUAUCAGAAGUGCGAAUGCUGACAUAAGUAACGAUAAAGCGGGUGAAAAGCCCGCUCGCCGGAAGACCAAGGGUUCCUGUCCAACGUUAAUCGGGGCAGGGUGAGUCGACCCCUAAGGCGAGGCCGAAAGGCGUAGUCGAUGGGAAACGGGUUAAUAUUCCCGUACUUGGUGUUACUGCGAAGGGGGGACGGAGAAGGCUAUGUUGGCCGGGCGACGGUUGUCCCGGUUUAAGCGUGUAGGUGUGUGUUCCAGGUAAAUCCGGUUCACUUUAACACUGAGGCGUGACGACGAGGCACUACGGUGCUGAAGCAACAAAUGCCCUGCUUCCAGGAAAAGCCUCUAAGCAUCAGGUAACACGAAAUCGUACCCCAAACCGACACAGGUGGUCAGGUAGAGAAUACCAAGGCGCUUGAGAGAACUCGGGUGAAGGAACUAGGCAAAAUGGUGCCGUAACUUCGGGAGAAGGCACGCUGACACGUAGGUGAAGUGAUUUACUCAUGGAGCUGAAGUCAGUCGAAGAUACCAGCUGGCUGCAACUGUUUAUUAAAAACACAGCACUGUGCAAACACGAAAGUGGACGUAUACGGUGUGACGCCUGCCCGGUGCCGGAAGGUUAAUUGAUGGGGUCAGCGCAAGCGAAGCUCCUGAUCGAAGCCCCGGUAAACGGCGGCCGUAACUAUAACGGUCCUAAGGUAGCGAAAUUCCUUGUCGGGUAAGUUCCGACCUGCACGAAUGGCGUAAUGAUGGCCAGGCUGUCUCC
rnacentral:rRNA from 1 species